rnacentral:lncRNA from 1 species
AUAAGUUUUGUAAUGAUUUAUUGAUAAUACAUAGUAUCUUCUUCAUAAGUUUAGGCUAAAACAAAACAUGAUCCCAUGAAGAUUUGAAAUUAAUAAGGUCUUUGCCCGACAAAGUUGCCAGGAGGAUCAUAGUUGCAUCCAAUGAAGGUUCCUCCAUUGUUGCACUUCACCUUAGCACAUCCUAAGCGAACCGAGUUACGCCAAACCACCUGUGUGUAGUGCAAGCACUGCUUUCCUCCAGUACAAGAAUUAGAAUUGUAAUCGUAAAAAGCCUUUUCGUCAACCCACAGUUUUACAGCAUCUCUGCCUGAAAGUUCACCGGAGCUCUUAGCAAGAUUCUCCCCGUAAGGUGGGUUAGUGGAAUGCACAAGAUUGCAGUCACCAGCUCGUUGAUUGGCAUAAUUCUGAGCAAAAGCUGCCACUGUGUUGUCCCAAGUCAUGGGUCCAACACCCACAGCUGCUCGAGCUUGGUUAUGUGCAUCAAGAAAGUCUUGUUGUGAGUCCUGGGCGUUUAAGGGAAGGAUUAGGCUGGCUAAGCUCACGAGGCAAAGGAGAGAAAGUGAAUUCUUGUAGAACGCCAUUUUUGAGUUUGAAAAGAAAUAUUUGAGAGAAGAUCUUAGGCAAUGGACGAUUAAAAGAUGUUUGUUUUGCUUGGCAUUUAUAGAGAUAAGAGUGUGGAAUUUUUUGUGAAGAAUAUGGAAGUGUAUAUGUGGAAUAAAUUGCAUAGAACUUGUUUUACAUUAAUCUACCGCAGAAAAGUCACUUAUAAUUAUAUUUUAUUUUUUAAUUAGAUAUUUUGAAAUUAUAAAUAUAACGUAUUUUUAAAUUUAAAAAAAUAUAUAUUUAUUUUUAUGAUAAAUUUAUAAUUUUCAGAUACAGAGGAUUUUAAAAAAAAAAAACUUUUCUUUCUGUCACAUCAGGUAGGGUGGACACGGAAUUAAAAUUGGUAACACUGGCAAGAAAAGGCCACACGUAAUUAUUCUAUUCUAUACUCCUAAAAUGCAUUAGAAUGAGUUGGUUAUUUUAACCAAUGGUAAUAUAACACAUCAGCAAUUGCAUAUAACUAAAAAUUUAAUAAAUUAGAAUAAUUUUUCAUUAAAAUAUAUAACUGUCGUAAGCAAAUGCUGCGUACUUUGAAUGAUUACGAUUUUUUUCUUCUAUAGAGAAUGAUUACGAGUUUAUUUUCUUUGUAAAUAUGAUAUAUUAAUUACAUUAAUUAAUUGCAGUUCAAAAUUUAAUUUUAGAACAUUAAGAGAAUUGCUUGAGGUGGCAGAACAUUAAGAGAAUUGCUUGAGUGUAAUUUAUUGGAUUAAUUGUCUAAAUGUUCUCAUCUGAUACUUUGAACGCAUAUUUUUUUCUGUGAUGUGGUAUUUUUGUGCAUAGAUACUUUAACUUUUUUCUUUUUCUUAAAUUUAACUCAUUCUUUUCAUUUCUCAUAAAAGUUAAUCUACGUCAAUUGACUAUUGAUAAAAAAGAAAAUAUUGUUAUCUUUAUUAAGAAUUUUAAAAAUAUUCUGAUCGUCACUUAUAACUUUUGUAUGAUAGAAAUGUUUUUCACAUGUAAUCCAAUCAAUUUUUAGAACAUACAAACAUCUUUAUCAAAUUUAUGGCAUGUUUUAGAAGGAUAUCUAUUAUGGAAUUAGAGCCAAAAAAAUAUCUGUUUCGGUUUUUUAACAAUGUUGAUUUUCCUUCCUCUCAACAGAAUAUUGAUGCUACAGAUUUUUCUUCCUCUCAACAGGAUGCCUCUAACCAUAUCUCUGCGAAUAUUAAUUUGACAGCUAACAGUAAAACGGCUCAUCCUGUCAAAGGUCGGGAUAGUCAAAAUUAAUGAUCGUUCUAUGUUUGAACUGUCGAAAACUCGGCAAUUCUCGGACAGUUAGUGCAUUGAAAGAGUUAAUUACUAGUUACAAGUCAAACACUUUAUUUUUUAUGGAAAUAAAAGUUUUAGCUCUCCGUCACUGAUUGCUCUUUACAACGAAAUUUUUGCCUUUCAAUAACUAUAUUCUUAUGGACUGUUUGCAAGUGGUUCAAUCUCUUCAGUCUCCGCAUUUAGAUAUUUCUGAACAGAAUUUGAUUUUGAAUGAUUGUAAAUUUUUGUUAGACCCUAAAACUGAUAUUUCUAUUAGAUGGGUUCGUCGUCAUGCUACUCUCAUAUUUUGACUAUAGAAUCUAUUAAGCAUUAUCGUCUCUUUGCUUGAAACGAUAUCUCUCUUUAUUUAAUGAAAUUUUAUUAAUACAAUAAGUAAUUUUGCUUUUAAAAAAAUUAUUGGAUUAAUUCUUCAUUUUAUAAUAUUUUAAUUUUUAAUUUUUUUAAAAAAAAUUAUACCAUAUAAUCUCUAUAUAUACAAUAAUUUUAUUAUAAGUAUAAUUAUAAACUUUAUGUAGAUUUCAAGGUAAUUAUAAUCUUUUUUUUUUAUCCCUAACGACCAGAGGUAGCAGCCCUCUUCAUAUACUGGAGAUAGUGAAUUUUAUAUAUUUUCAAACUUCUCUAUUUAUUCAAAGACUUUUCCGAGAGAAUUUUCCAUAUUAGACUUUAGCUUAUGGUAAUUAAUCUGUAAAUUUUGCAGGACAACGAUCUCUUAAAAAAAAAUAAAUAAAAGUUAUGUAAUUUUUUUUAUUUUCAUUUUAAAAUUUAUAAUUUUAUUUAUAUUAAAAUAAUAUGUGCGAUAUCGUAACAUUAAUAAAAUAACUUUUAUACUUUUACUAUUAUAAUUCUAUUGAAUUUUAUUUUAUUUUUGGAACAACUUCUUAUUAAUUAUUAUUUUUUAAAUAAAUAUUUAAAAUAUUUUUAAUAUUUAAUAAAUUCAAUAUUUUUAGAUGUGUAUAACUGAAACAAUAAUAACAAUAAUUAUUUAUCUCAAUAUGUAUAAAAAAUAAAAUAAAAAAAUUAUAAAAUAGAUGAAAUAAUAAUAAUAUUUGUUAUUAUAAACAUAUUCUUUUUAAAUAUUUUUUAUAAAUAUUUAAUUAUUUUCUGUAUAAUUUCAAUUUAUUUAAUCGUUUUCAGUAUAAUUUUAAUUUAAAAGUCUUGUGUGUUUAAAGAAAAAUAAAUAAUAAUUAUUUAAAAAUAGAAAAUUUAAAUUAAUUUCAGAGGUGUAUAAUUAUUUUAAAAAAAUAAUGUAACGUAAAUUACUUUAUAGAUAUUAGUUAAUUAUGAUAAAAUUUUUGAAGGAAGACAAGAUUUUCCCUUGAGGGAUGCCGUGUUGGAAAGAGUUAAACUUGAAAAAUUAUCCAAGCCCUAGAGUUUGUGGUCACAAGCCGACUCUAAUAUUUCAUAUUUAUCCAUUAUUUUCUUUACAUUGAUAGAAACAAUGCAUCUAGAGAUGAUGAUGAUGGCGCCGGCGACGACGACGACUACUAUGUUGCAGUUUCUUUAAUCGUAGAAAGCCUUUCUUGUCAACGUCAACCCACAUUUUCACAGCAUCUCUAGCUGAAAAAUCACCGGUGGUCAUAGCAAGGUUCUCCCUAUAAGACCAGUUAGUGGAAUACACAAGGUUGCAGUCACGAGCUCGUUGAUUAGCAUAGUUCCGAGCAAAAGCUGUCACUUUGUUGUCCCCAAGUCAUAGGUCCAACAUCCACAUCUGCUGGAGCUCGGUUAUGGGCAUUAAGGUAGUCUUGUGGUUGUGGUGAGUCUUGGGCGUUCAAGGGAAGGAUUAGGCUGGCUAAGCCCUGAGACAAAGGAAAGCUAGUGAAUUCUUGCAGAACGAUACUUUUGAGUUUGAUAAGAGAUUUAUGAAAAAUUGCUACUUAAAAAUUUACUAAUUAAUCUCUCAAUUUAAACCGUUACUAACAUUUUAAAAAAUUUAUUAAUUAGUCUUUUAGUUAGUUUUUAUUAAAUAUUUUAUUAUUUAGUUUUUAUAAUUUUAAAAAAUUGAUUAAUUAGUCUUUUAAAUGUUUAAAAAAUUUACUAUUUAGCCUUUUCGUGUUAUGAGUAUUUUAGAUCUUUUUGCAAUAUUUAAUAAUUAAAACUAAUGGAGAGAUUAAUUAGUAAAUUUUUUAAAAUGUCAAAAAUAUUUUAAUGCGUUUUUAAAAACCAAAAAAUCAAGUAAUAAAUUUCUUCCUACCAAAAAAACUAAAUAGUAAUUCAAUCUUAAUCAUAUAUAUUAACUUAUCAAAUAGUUUUUAAAUUAGUUUAUGAAUUACAAUUUUUUUUCUUAAAAUAAUUUUUUAAUUAUAAUUGCAAUUCAUUUAAUUUUUUUUAACUCAAAUAAGUGAUUAAAUCAUUCAUAUACAAUAAACAUAUAGGUUGAUCUCCAUAUUGGGUUAUAUAAAUUAUGGGAUUAAUUCUCAAUUUAUUAAAUAUUUAAGUUUUUUUCUCACUUUAAGAAAAAGUUUUAUACCAUACAACCAAUAUAAUAAUUUUAUCAUAGUUAAUAAUUAUAAUGUAUUCUAUAUGUAAAUUCUACCGUAAUAAUUAUCAUCGACGGUUAUAUAUAUAAUAAUUUUAUAUAAAAAAAUUUUCAGUUAUCUUUGUGUUGAACAAAUAUAAUUGUGAUCUAAUCUAUAGUAAAGAUAAUUCAUCGAAUUUCAUACGUAAAUUCCAACGUAAUAAUACGAUUAUAUUAACAAUAUAUAUCUUUUUAAAUUUUUUUAAAUUAAAAUUAAAAAAAUAAAAUAAAUUAUUUUUGUUUAAAAAAUUUUCAUGGAAAAUAUUUUGUUUAGAAAAUAAACUUAUGAGAGAGUUGUCUCUUUUUAAAUUUUUUUUUCUGUAAACGCUUACUUAAUUAUGACAUAAUUUCUUUUUCUUCUUUUUUUUACAAUUAUUGUAGACUAACAUGCGCGCUGGUUUAGACAAUGAUUUAUAUUAUCAAACCAACGGACCAAUAAUUAAUUAAGUAAAAUAUAUGUUACAAAUGAUUUUUUUUUUUUAAAUUUUAUUAAGUUAUUUUUUUUAAUUAGCACAAUUUUAUAUUUGUAUCCUAAAAUUUAGAAACGAAUUUAAAUCCAUCUUUAUGCUAAAUUGUGCUAAGUUGUUGAAUUUUUUUUGCUAAAUUUAAUAUAGAACUUAAUUUUAUUUUAUCGCAAAUUAAAUCUGUUAUUAAUUAGCAAUGAAAACAAUCUUUUUAUAAUUUUUUUACACCAGCAUUUUAUUAGCAUGUGACGUACUAUAUUAUUAUAUUCGUUAUUUUUUAUAUAUAAUAUUAAUUAUAUAUUGAUAUAAUAUAAUAAUCGUUCAAAAUAAAUUAUAAGUUAUUAUCAUAAAACAGAGUUAUGUGAUAAAAAUUUGGUAAGUUGAUAUGUACAAGGGCGGAGGGAAGGUACAGUAAGGGGGCACGUGCCGUACCGGCGACCGGAAAAUGCUUUGAAGGGGGAUGAAGGUGCUGCAGCGGCGCAGCCGGUGCCCUACCAAAGGGAAGCUCCUGGCUUCGCCACUGGAUAUGUAGUUCCAUUCGUGGAAAGAAAGACCCGAAUAUUGUAGCACCCAAUUUUUUUUAUCAACACUCACUCUCUUCCGAACAGGUUGAAUCUUCACAUAAAGUUUUCAUUAGCGGAUACAAUCCAAUAGAUCUCCGUUACACUUAUAAUUGUGGAAUUCUCUAUCUGCUAGCUGGUAUCAGUCGGAUUUUCAAGAGAUGCAAUAACUAACUCUAUCUUCUUAUAGUAUAAAAGCUAAUGAUUGCAGAGAUCAAUGUACACAUUCUUAUACAACUACUCUUGAGUUCUAAACAAUUCAUUACACUCGCCAUUUUCUUCAAUUUACUGAUUUGAGUGUCGGAUUGGUUGCCGUAUCCGCCAACCACCUUACUUUUUCUUUCUUAGAGAUUGACUAAUGGCGGCACAGUUUCAUUUUAGUCACAUCAUUUGGUUCCGUUACCAAGAAAUUCUAUUGAAUUAUCUCUGUUCAAAUAAAUUAAAAAUCAGUCUCUCAUUCACUUUCUCCUAAAAAGAAUCCUUUUACCUUUUUCAUUCUCUAAAUAGCUGACAAUUCACGAGCUGCUGCUGAGACUACUGCCGACAAAUUUCUUCCAUUCCUGAAAGUGGACAAACCCUCAAUGAUCAAUGAGGCAGAUUUGAAAAAUUUGAAUAACAAACAAAUGCUUCAGUACAGUAAGAGGCUGCAGGCCACUCUCGAGCAGUAUAAGACUUGGGAGGAAGCCUCAUUCAUGGCUCCCAUGAUAAGGGAGGUGACUGUGCGGUUAUUAGGGCCAGUCAAAAAUAACCUUUUCAGUUAUCAAUAAUUUUACAACUGCAGAUAGUGGUGAAAGGAUCGAAUCCACAAAGAAUUGAUACUUACCUAUCUUUCUUAUCAAAACCAAGAAAACAAACUGAAAGUAAAAUAAAAAUAAACUGCAAGUAAAGUAAUAGGGGGUUUUGAGAUUGAUUGAAUUGAACUAAUACUAAAAGCAAUAAAGUAAAGCAAAUAAUUAAAGUAAAAGAAUUCAAAUAUGAGAAAAGCUCUAGUUGAAGAAUUGGAUCCACUUCAAUUGUUGGGACUAAUCAUUGAUACUUAGGUUCCUUUGUUUGAUUCAAUAAAUUAGUUAUGGAGAUGGAAGACGCUUCUCACCACCAUAUAUCUCCUUAAGCAUAAAUCAAUUAGGGAACGUCCUCUAAUUAAUUACUAAUCAACAAGUUGCCAAGGAACUUCCUUGGGCCUUUGGCAUCUAACAACUGUCAAUUGCAUAAAGAAAUAGAGAGACCUAAUUUUAGCUACCCAAACGCGUGGUGAUAUCGCUAGAUCAUGCAAUUUUCUUAGUUUUUACACCAAAAGUUGCUUAUGUUUGAACAAUCCAAGCAAUUACGGACUUAAAACUAUCCAAACUAACAAUUUAUUACUUUGCAAUCAAGAAUUAAUUGGCCAUAUUGAUCAAAAUAACAAAGCAACAAUGGAAUUAAGCAUGAGAUUGCAUGAAUAUUGAAAAAUAGAAGUUAAACAAUGUGUGUUUAAAUCUCCCAAUCCAUAAAACAACUAAAGUAUCAACCAAUCUUCAACUAGAAAUAAAGGUUUCAGCUACUCAUGGCUGAAACAAAACACAAGAUCGAAAGAAAGGAAGAAGAAGAAGAGGUGGCCGAAGCCUUGGAGAGGAAGAGUGGUCUUGCACCAAAUCUGAAGAGAAGAGAGAGGAGGGAUGGGCGGCACCUUGAAGAGAUGUAUUUAUAGCCUUUAUGUGCUACCCUAGGUCUUUUACUUGCUGCCCAAGUUGGUCUUCCUUACUGCCCUUGCCGCCCAAGUUGCUUUGAUGAGGUGGAGCCUCUUUUUGAAUUUUGAAUUUUGAAUGUGCAAGGCUUGAGAGGCGAGUAUGUCUUCUUGAGAUUUGGCUUCCUAAACAAGCUGAAUUUUGAAUUUUGAAUACUCUUGAAGAAUUGAAAUUUGAAUUUCAAACUACUUUCCUUAUUUGUCUCCUCUCAAGUUGCAACUUGACAUGCUUGCUCUCUUUUGUUCCAUUUUAGGCAGUUUUAAGGGCAUUUUCUCCAAAUUACCUCUUUACACCAUUUUCUACAAAAUAAGAUCAAAAUCAUAAAAUUAGGCAGAAAAAAGUGUAAAUUAACAUUAAUAAUAUCAUGAUAAAGUGGUCUAAAUUUGGACUGAUCAGGAGGAGGCCACUAUUAAUAACCCCAAAGACUCAAACGGAAGCAAUCCACACGCAGUCCAAAGGGAAGGCCAAGCUGGAGGAAGAGAAGUCAUCAAACGAGGUUCUAAAGGACGUCGACUUGAAGUUGGUACGAGCUGUUCAAAUGUACCAGAGGGAGCAGGAAGAUGAUUAUGGUCUGGAUAGUGCCUCGCCCUUGUUAGAAGAGAUCCUAGCAAAGACUUUUCUUGCCAAAUUCAAAACCCUAAGUUUGGACAAAUAUGAGGGAACAGCAGAUCUCGGAAGUCACUUGGCGAUCUUUAGAAUAACAAUGCAUCUUUAAGACGUCAAUGAUUUUGUACUGUGCUGAGUGUUUUCAUCCACACUCACAGGUUUGGCUCAGAAAUGGUACCAACAUCUAAGCCUAGGUUCUACUUAAAGCUUUACUCAGGUUGCCAUGUUAUUUAAGUCUAGAUUUAUCACUUGCAUACCUCCUAAAAAGAUCUCCUUUGACUUACAAAAAAUUUUUCAAGGAGAGACCGAGUUUUCAAGGAAUUUUUUCUCACAAUUCAAUGCUAAAACAAUACAGGUGGAAGAAUUAAAUCACGAAAUAAUGUGUGAAGCAUUGAAAAAAGGAAUGCGCAACAUCAAAUUCAUGGACUCCCUAAUAAAGAACCUUACCGCUACUUAUCAAUAGCUAAUUGACAAUGCUCAUAAGUACAUAAAACUGGAUGAUGAAGUCCAGACACUAAAAGAAGACAAGAGGAUGAGUCAGAAGCAAAACCAAAAUUCGGAGAGGCGAGGAUAUGAAGGAGACUACAAAAAUUACCUAGUGUCCCGAGGAAUGGACGACUGAGGUAAAUAUAAGAUCUAUACUCCACUAAAUGACUCAUGAAUGCACAUACUUAUGUGGAUAAGGAAAAACAGUAAAGAGGUCAAAAGGCCCACUAAGCUUAACGCGGACAAAUUAGGCAUGCAAGAUAGAAUAAAGUAUUGCCGAUUUCAUGACGAUCAUGGGCACACUACAGAGGGAUACCAACAACUAAAAGAUGAAAUUAAGAGUUUGAUAAGGGACGACACGCUCUGAAAGUUUGCUAUAAAAGGCAAAGAAGAAAAGAGGUUGGGAUCUAAGGUGAGAACACCAAUCAAUCCUGAUGUAAAAUGAACCCGUAUGGAUUAUUCACAUAAUUGUAGGAGGACCGAGUGAUAAUACGGGUCUAUAGAAGUGAAAUGUCAUAGAUAUUCAGCUCCUGAGUCAAACUUUGAGUUUUAAAAUUGGUCAAGUUACACGACUGAGUCUUUUAAUUAUUCUUGAAAGACUAUUUGUAAUUUAUGACGUUAUAAAUAAAACUAUGAUGUAUUCUUCAAACCUUUUUUAUACGUAAAUUAAAAAUAUUAGAUGGAUAAAAGCGUAGAGACAAGAACAACGCCACAAGAUGGGUAACUGCCAAACGAGCCAUAAGGUGGGUAUUCACCAAGCCGAUGACUGGGUGUUAGUCCUAUUAAUUAAGGCAUUUUAUGCCAAAGCCACAAGAUAGGUAUCCGCCAGACCAAUGAUCGGGUGUUACUCUCGUUAACUAAGGCAUUUUAUGCCAAAACUACAAGGCGGGUAUAUGCCAAGCCGAUGACCGAGUGUUAGUCCCGUUAGCUGAGAUAUUUUAUGCCAAAGCCACAAGGCGGGUAUCCGCCAAGCUUACGAUCGGGUGUCAGUUCUGAUUAAUAAAAAUUUUCAAGGUAGUUUAUGCCUAGGCCGUAAGGCAGACAUCCGCUAGGCUCAAGUCCCGUUAAUCAAAUUCUCUAAGACAUUUUAUGCUAAGUCCACAAGGCAGGUAUCCGCUAGGCCCAUGACCGGAUAUUAGUCCCGUUAAUCAAAUUUUCUAAGGCAUUUUAUGCCAAAGCCACAAGGCGGAUAUUUGCUAGGCUCAUGACUAGAUGUUAGUCCCAAAAGAUAAAAGCAAGUUUCUGCCAAAAAGCACCACAAGGCGAGUAAUCGCCAGGUGAGUCUUUAGGUGUUCGUCCCAAAAGAUAAAAGCAAGUUUCUGCCGAAAAGCGCCACAAGGCAGGUAAUUGCCAGGCGAGUCUUUGAGUGUUAGUUCCAAAAGACAAAGGCAAGUUUCUGCCAAAAAGCACCACAAGGCAAGUAACUGUCAGACGAGUCUUUGAGUGUAAGUCCCAACAGACAAAGGCAAGUUUCUGCCGAAAAGCACUACAAAAUGGGUGUAAUACCCGGCUAGAUUCCGGCAUCGGAAUCCCUACCUUCCGGCGAAAUCUCUGUUGGAAUCUGGAAUUCUGACGAUGCCAGAGUCUUCUAGAGGGGUAAAAUGUGUUUCUAAAAUGUUUUCAUACGAUUUUAUGAUUUUUAAUGGAAAAGAAAUGAGUUUUUAAAAGAUUAGGCCAAUGAGGCAUUUGCCAGGUUCGGUCGCCGAAAGUGAAGUUCGGCCGCCAAACAUGGGAAGGUUUCGGGAGCGCUUUUGACCUCCGAAAGCUUUGUUUGAAUGAACUAAGGUUCGGCCGCCGAACCUCAAGUUCGGCCGCCGAACAUGCAUGAGUUUAGGGGGCACGUUAGGCUGCCGAAGGUCGUUGACCAGGCCGCCUAUAAAGAGCCCUCAAAUCGAAAAUGGGCCAGUUUUCUCCCUAUUCUCGAGCUCAGGUGAGUUUUUGUCCUCCUUUGGUCGUUUUCAUGCUUUCCUUAUCCAUCCCUCAAGUUUUCAUGAGUUCUACCCUUGUUUUGAAGUUUUGAAGCUUAAACAGAAGUUUUAGAGCUUAGAGGCUUUUGGAGCUUGGAUCCUCCACACCUCCGAGUUAGGGAUCGCACCAACCCUCGAUCUUCAAGAGGUAAGUAUAGAUCCUUGCUUCCCUUUGUGUUUAAUGAAGUUUUAAGAGGUUUUAAUGGUUGAGUAUGGGUAGAUAUGCAUGUUAAGGUUUAUGUGGGUUUUGUACCCAAUGUAUGUUUAUGUGCUGAUUGUUCGGGGCCUGGACUAGUGUUUAUGCCCUAUAUGCAUGUGGGAGAGUGUAUGCAUGAUUGGGAGAGGGCAAGUGAGAUUUUGAAUUGUUUUAAUGGUUUUGGCUUAUGUGGGUCAUAAGCUAUUUAUGUAUGCUUUUUAAUGUUAUUUUUGGAGUUUAAUCUAGUUGUUAAGCUCCUUUAUGCAUGGUUAAGGAUUUAUACAUGUUUUUGAGAAGUUGAAUGCAUGUUUAGGAUGUUUAGAGACUUGUUUGUGCAUGAGGCUGAGUUCUGGAUGAACUCAGGUUCGGCAGCCGAAGGGACUUUCAGCCGUCGAACCUGCCUGUGGAGGCAGCUUUUGGCUGCCGAACCUUGCCCCCAAAAGUUGGACUUUCGGCUCUGGAGGGGAGAUUCGGCCGCCAAAGGUGCCGCCGAACAUGCAUGAGUUUCGUCUCUGGAAGAGACUUUCGGCCGCCGAAGGUGCCGCCGAAAGUAGCUGAGUUUCGGCUUUGGAGGGACUUUUGGCCGCCGAACCUGCCACCGAAAGUGCCCUGUCCAGCCUUCCUUUGCAUGAUUUCUAUGUUUGUUUUGAGGAUGUUUUAGGGGUAUUUGGGGAGAUGUUUAGAGUCCUAUUAGAGUAUGUUUGGUCCCUCACUUGAGUCCACCUGUGUAGGAUCGGACCUGAGGAACCGAGGUGUUUAGCAGUGUUAGCUGCUUCAAAGUUAGUCCAGAGCUAGUCAAAGGUGAGUAAAACAUAACUCUUUUAAUAUUAAAGAAAUUAAAUGUUUUAAGCAUGUUCAUGCAUCACGAAUACCAUGUUAUGUAAUAGGUUGUUUGCAUUAGAGUUCACGAAUAUGUUGCAUUGCAUAAUACGAUGAUGACGAUGUGGAUGGAUAUUGGAUGAUCCAUUAGCCCUCAGUAUGACAUGAUAUGACAUGAUAUGACAUGUAUGGCAUGAUAUGAGAUGGAAAGACCAGGCGUGGCCGUAUCGCCCCAGGCAUAGAGUAAGAGAAGUCCAGGUGUGGCCGUAUCGCCCCUGGCAUAGAGUAUGUGAAGUCCAGGCGUGGCCGUAUCGCCCCUGGCAUAGAGCAUUACUGAACUUGUUAUGAUAUGAGAUUUAUAUGUAGAGGGCUAUUGGUGACAAAUUCAUCCUUGAUGUGUAUUGUUUUGUGAUGUGAUGCAUGUCAUGAAAGCAUAUGAUAUAAUAAACUGUUUUUAUUUAGUUCUGCUCACUGGGCUUUUUAGCUCACCCCUCUCCCUUAACCCCAGGUUUACAGGGUCAGAGAUAGUUCAGGAGGUCAGCAGGUUAUGGUUAUGGUCAUGAUUAUGUAAGAGGAUAGUAGUGGACAUGAUGUAUUUGUAAAGUUAUGUAAUAAUGUAAAAGUAUGUAUUAAAAUGUAAAUUGAGAUAAAUGUAAGACCCCGCUCGUUCAGGCAUCGGAAUUCCUGCCGUCAGGUGGAGUUUCGGAUGUCGGAUCCUUUUUGAGGGGUAUAGCAAGAGUUAAGGGAAGGUUUUCUAAAAUGGUUUUAAAUGGAAAAGGAUUGAGUUUUGGAAAGAAAAGACCAAGGAGGCGUUUUCCAGGUUCGGCCGCCGAAAGUGAAGUUCGGCCGUCGAACAUGGAAAGGCUUCGGGAGCGCCUUUGGCCUCUGAAAGUCUUGUUUAAACGAGCCAAGGUUCAGCCGCCGAAAGUCAAGUUCGGCCGCCGAACAUGCAUGAGUUUAGGGGGCACGUUAGGCUGCCGAAGGUCUUUGACCAGGCCACCUAUAAAGGGCCCUCAGAUCGGAAAUGGGCGAGUUUUCUCCCCAUUCCCGAGCUCAGGUGAGUUUUUGCCUUCCUUUGGUCGUUUUCAUGCUUUUUCUACCCAUCCCUCAAGUUUUCAUGAGUUUUACGUUUGUUUUGAAGAGUUUUAAGCUUAAAUCAAGUUUUGGGAGCUUGGAGGCUUUUGGAGCUUGGAUCCUCCACACCUCCGAGUUAAGGAUUGCACCAACCCUCGAUCUUCAAGAGGUAAGUGUAGAUCUUGGUUUUCCCUUAUGGUUUAAUGAAGUUUUAAAUAAGUUUUAUGAAGUUUUAAUGUUUAUGUAUGGAUAGUUAUGCAUGUUUAGGCUUUUGUGGGUUUAUGCCCAAUGUAUGUUAUGUGGUGUUGUGUUGGUAGGUUUAAGCUAGUUUCUUUGCUCCUUUAUGCUUGUGGGAGUGUGUAUGCAUGUUUGGGAGAGAGUAUGUGAGGUUGAGGUUGGUUUUGGGGGGUUGGGAGGCUGGUAUGCUCGAGAGGCUGAGUUCUAAUGAACUCAGGUUCGGCCGCCGAAGGUAGUUUCGGCCGCCGAACCUACCUGAGGAUGCAGGGUUUGGCCGCCUAACCUUGCCCCCGAAAGUUGAGUGUUGGCUUGAAAGCAGACUUCCGGCCGCCGAAGGUAAUGUUCGGCCGCCGAAAGUGCCUGACUUUUGUCUCUGGAGAGAGGGUUCGGCCGCCGAAGGUGCCGCCGAACAUGCAUGAGGUUCGUCUCUGGAAGGGACCUUCGGCGGCCGAAAGUGCCGCCGAAAGUGCCCUGUCCAGCCUUUUCAUGAGUAUGUUCUAUGCAUGUUUUGAUGAUGUUUUAGGGGGUUUUUGGGGAGAUGUUUAUGUCUAUGUUAGAGUUGUUUGGUACCUCAUGUGAGUCCAUCUGUGUAGGAUCGGACCUGAGACAUCGAGGUGUCUAGCUUCGGUGCUAGUUGGCCCAGUAGAGUUAGCUGAGCAGUGGCUUCAGGUGAGUAGAACUAACCUUGCAUGUUUUAAAGGUAAUGACAGUAUGAGCAUAAGACACGCAUCAUGAAUGCCAUGUUAUGUAAUAGGAUGAUUGCAUUAGACUCACGAAUAUGGUGCAUUGCAUUAUUUACUGAUAGUGGGGAUUGGACCAAAGCAACAUCAAUAGCCCACAAUCUGUCAUGGCAGUGAAAAUCCUGUGUGAGUUCCUAUGGGAAUCGGGUGCCGACAGAGGGAGUUUUGAGGUCAUGUCUAAUCCGAGAUGUGGAAUGUUUGUGCUGUGACACAUAUCAUGAAAGCAUGUAAUGAAUGAACGAAUUAUUUUAUCUGUUUCUACUCACUGGGCUCUUGUAGCUCAUCCCUUUCCCUUAACCCCAGUUUUGCAGGGCCAGAGCUAAGUUAAGCCAGAGUAAGUCAGAGUAAGCUAUGGGGAAAGCAGAGUUUAAGCAUGGGUUGCAGUGUUUUGAUGUAAUAGUAUAGCUUAGCUUGUAAAGGAAAAAGCAUGUAUAUGUUAAGUAAGCUGGAUAUAAAGAGAUGUUAUGUUUUGUAUGCUUGAAUAGUAUAGUAGUGGACAUGAUGUAUAUAAAGGAUAUGAUAUGAUGAUGUAUGUAAAGAGUUAAUGAAAAGCUAGAGGAUAGAAAGUAUAGUAUGUCAUGUGAUGUAUAGAGUUGUGCUUGACCCUAGAGUUGUUUGAUCCCUUGGUUUACAUGAUCUUAAGAAAAUGUCUUGAUGUUAAUGAGUUAAAGGUUUUCAUGAUGUGAAAUGUUUUAAAUGUUAUGAGAUUUGAAUGGCCCGUGAGGGAAGAAAGGGUUUCAAUCCCUUGACCCAAAGCGGACAUGGUUUUAAAGCUAGCUUGAUGACCCAUCUGGUAUGAGGUUCUAUGUUUUCAUGCAUAGGUCAAGCGGAGGUAAGGAAAACAAGUUUAAAGGUUUUUCUGAAACAAAAGCUUAAGUUUUCAAGAAAAGUUUGAUCAUGUAUGGGAUCAGACCAGAAGUUUAGCAUGUCUUGUGGCUUGCUACGGGUCCCGGCGGCCUUAAGCCGAUCUGGAUCCUAGCGCCGGUGGCGGUCCGAAGAUGCGGGCUGUUACAGAUAAUGUAAUGUAAUAGAUAGAGUUGUGCUUUGCCCUAGUGUGUGGUUAAUCCCUCUGUACAUAGUCUUUAUGUAUGUUUUAUAGGGAGAUAUGAAAACCAAGCUUAUUGUAUGUUGCCCCAUUAGAGUUGAUGAUGAGAACUCUAGUGUUGGGGUUUAUGAUUAUGAGUUGUGCAUGCACAAGUUAAGCUUGGUAAAUGAAAGAAAGUUUAAAGUUUUUAUGUAAAUGUUGAUCAUGUAUGGGAUUAAUCAGGUAUACAGGAUGCAUGUAAGGCUUGCUACGGGUCCCGGCAGCCUUAUGCCGAUCUGGAUCCUAGCGCCGGUAACGGUCCGAUUUUCGGGCUGUUACAGAUUGGUAUCAGAGCCCUAGGUUCACAUGGUCGGACCUAUAGUGUGUCGGGCUCAUAGGGGUUAUAGAAGGGCAAGCACAAUAGGAAAAAUCAUGUCCACUAGGAUAGAAUAUGGAGUCCUGUCUUGUAUGAUGAUGUGAAAUGCCAUAAUGAUAUGCAUGUGCAUUAAUGUUAUGCUAUGUAUGUGAGGUAGGUUCAUGUGUUUCCACAUGAACCGUAUGAUGCUAAUGUUUAUGUGAUAUGUUAUGCUUUCAGAAGUCAAGAUGAGAGGAACUCGUUGAUCUGCUAUAUUGAUUGGAGCUCCGCCAGAGAAUGAGGGCAUGGAUUCCUAUCCCCCUACUCUGCAGAGGGCAAGAUCUUGUAGGACAAUCAGACAAGGUAUAGCAAGGGACCCUAGAAGGUCUUGUGAUGCAAGUCGGAGGAGAUCAGUUCAUGAUGGUAUGUCAGCGGAUGUGAUGGGAACAGAGGAGGAUAACCAGAGAAGAGAUAGUAGUUUGGGCAUGAGUAUGUCAGAAGAGGAUAUGGGAGAGUCCCAAGGAGGCACUCAGGCCUCGGGCUUUGUUCCACCACAGUAUACACCUUAUCCCUCAGGGGCCAGGGUAUCCGAUGGGAAGUACGUCGGAUUUCUCUAGUUACCACCCAUACCCCACCUUUACGCCCUACCCUCCCUUUUACCCACCGUACCCACAGUACCCCAUGUUUCCAUCCUCACCCUUUUACCCAGGUCCAGCAAACCCUAACCCCGGGAAUGCUGCACCUCGUCCUCCACUAGUAGAGCCAAUUGUCCCUAAUACCCAAACACCCAAACCUAGCUCAUCAGUUGGGGUUAAGGUAAAGAUGACAGAUUACCUAAAGUUGGAUGCCCCCAAGUUUGAAACAGGUGAUGACCCUUUUGAGUAUCUCAGAAUGGUAAAGAUGAUAACUGAUGAGUUGGGAGCAAGUGAGAGUAGAGCCAUUCAGAUGGCAGGGUUCACAUUGAAAUCCAAGAAGGCAAGGGAACGGUUCAAAAACUAUGUGGACCCAAGGUUGGAGAGCUGAUCCUGGGAGCAGUUUGCCAAUGAGUUUGCAGGAUGGGCUUUUCCAGAGAGUUCCAGAGAGCUGAGGAUGAUUGAGUUUGAGCAGCUGAGGCAAACGGAAGAGAUGAGUAUAGAUGAGUUUACCAACAAGUUUUUGGAGUUAUUGCCGUAUGUGGGGCAAGCCUAUGAUACGGAUCAGAAGAAAGCAAGGAGGUAUACCAUGAGACUCCACUCCAGGUAUUCCUCUUUAAUCCAAUCUGCAGAGAGGGAGAGUUUCCAUGCUAUAGUGGAUAUGGCUCGGAAGAUGGAGGCUAGUGCCAUCAUUCAGGUGUCAGUUAAUCAGUCUGUGGCACAGUCUUCGAGUUUCAAAGUCCCGGGGACGAGUGAUGUUAAUCUCUCCUCUCUGAAUAAUGCUACCAUGAAAAGUAAAAAGGGUGACAGAGGCCUCAGAAGGUCGAAGAAGAACAAGUUCUGGAAUCGGAUAAAGUCUGGUCUGGGAUUAGGAGGUGGCUCGAGCUCAGGCACGGAGGUUGCAGAGUGUAUGAGGUGCGGUAGGCCGCACAAGGGAGUCUGUCGGUUUGGGACUACAGCAUGUUACAGAUGCGGCCAAGAGGGACACAUAGCUCAGGAGUGUCCUAAGGCAGCUUUUAUGGCACCGUCCCAUCAAACAACUCCAGGCAGUAUGGCACAGCCAUCAGCUCCAGCCAUGUUACAGGGUAGUGGUCGAGGCGGAGGAAGGGAGGCAGCCCCUUCUUCAGUAGGUUCAGGCGGAGAAGGUCCAUCAGCUCUAGCUCGGAUCUUUUCCAUGGCGCAGCAGGAGGCUAACACAUCGGACAUGGCGGUAACAGGUAAUCUCAUUCUCUUAUGUUUUGAUGUGUAUGCUGUGAUAAACCCUGUGGUUUCUCUUUCUUUGUUGUUCCGAGAGCCGUAGAUAGAGUGGGUUGGAUAGCUUUUGGGUAAGAGUGUCCCCUUUGGGUCAGUGGACCCAAGCGUGAUCCAUCAGUGGCAGAGUCAGUCUGUCGGUAUAGUUCAGAGUGUAUUGUGAGUAGAUGCCUUCCAGCCGACCUAGUGGUUCUAGAUUUGACUGAUUCUGAGGUCAUUCUCGGGAUGGAUUGGCUUUCUGCUCAUAGUGCUACCUUGGAUAGCAGAGACGAGGUAGUCAGGUUCAGAGUUCAGGAUGGAUCAGAGGUAGUCCUUAGAGAGGACAAGGUUGCGAUACCUAGAGGUUUGAUAUCAGCCCCUCAAGCUCGUAGGUUACUCAGGAGAGAUUAUCAGGAGUUUUUAGCUCUUGUGAGGGAGUCAGUAGUCAGGUCAGGGAACCCGCCUCAGUGCCCGUAGUCAGAAAGUUCUUAGAUGUUUUUCCAGACAGGCCGAUGGAGUUUUGAAUGAAAGUGAUAAUGGGGACCAGACCCGUCCCUACCCCUCCCUACAGGGUGGCACCUGCAGAGGUAAAGGAACAGAAAGAGCAGUUAUAAAAGUUGGUAGCCAAGGGUUUCAUCCGACUGAGUACCUCGCCCUGCGAUACUCUAGUGUUGGUUGUGAAAAUGAAGGAUGGAUCCCUAGGACUUUGUAUCGACUACCAGUCAUUGAACAAAGUCACUACCCAGAACAAGUAUUUGUUACCUUGGAUCGACAAUCUAUUUUAAACCAGCUAGCAGGAGCUGGUUGCCUUUUCAAGAUAGAUCUGAAGUCCAGGUACCAUCAGUUAAGAUCAAGGAAGAAGUUGUACCGAAGGCGGUGUUUAGAAUCAGAUAUGGGCACUAUGAGUUCCUAGUAAUGUCGUUCGGGUUAAUGAACGCCCCUACAACAUUCAUGGAUCUCAUAAGCAGAGUUUUAGUCGGUUUCUGGAUCACUUCGUUAUUGUCUUCAUUGAUGGUACCUCAGAGAGUUCCAGAAAUACAGAAAAGUAUGCCCAUUAUCUGAGGUCAGGAUUGCAGAUCGUGAGAGAACAUGGCUUGGAUGCCCAGUUCUCCAAAUGUGAGAUCCAGUCAAGGAGCAUAUCUUUCUUGGGUCAUGAUAUGUCGGAAAAAAAAAAAAAGAAAAGUGAGGUAGACCCCUAGAAAGUUGAAGUUGUAGCUGACGAGCCCAGGCCCAUUGUAGUGACAAAGAUCAAGAGCUUUUUGGGUUGGGCAGGUUACCUACUGGAGGUUCAUCCAGAACUUCUCUAGAGUUACCGCUCCUAUGACCAGAUGGACCAAGAAGAAUCAGAGGUUGUGUGGUCUGUUUAGAGUGAAGAAAGUUUUGAAAAAGCUAAAGAAAAUAUUGAUGUCAGCACCAGUGGUGGCUCUGUCCACCAGUAAUGAAAAUUUCACAGUGUCCUGUGAUGCGUCCCGGGUGGGACUAGAUUGUGUGUUAAUGUAAAGUGGCAGGAUGAUUGCUCAUGCUUCUAGGUAGCUGAAGAAGCAUGAGUUGAAUCAUCCUACACAUGAUCUAGAGAUGGCGAUGGUAAUCUUUGCACUCAAGAUGUGGAGGCAGUACCUGUAUAAGGUAUGAUAACAGAUCCUUACACAUCGAAAGAGCUUGCAAUACAUCUUGAGUCAAGGGAGAAGAACCUGAGGCAGAGGAGAUGGGUAAAAACUGCGUAGUGUUUAUAACUUCAAGGUUCAGUAUCAUCCGGGUGAAGCAAAUAUUUUGAUAGAUGCCCUCAACCGGAAACCACUUGGCAGCUUAUCCCAUCCCUUAGUACAGUAAGAAGAAGGCCAGUAGUCAAAAAACGAGAAGAAUCAGAACUGCUGUGAGUCAGCAGGAGAGUUAUGAAGUUGUCCGCAAGAGGCAUGUAGAGUUUCAGAAGAGGGAAGAGUUUUUGUCAGAGUGCGUAGUGAAAUCUUGUUAAGGUCUAGGAGAAGGUUGUGGUAUUACUGGAGGUGUCUCCUUAGAGAGGGUGAUUCGUUAUGGGAAAAAGGGUAAACUAACUCUAAGAUACAUCGGACCCUUUGAAAUCCUGCAAAGGAUUGGGAAUGUAUCCCACGAGUUAGAUUUGCCCACUACGAUAGAAGAGAUCCAUCCAUUUUUCCAUGUUUCCACGGUAUAUGAGUUCGUGUCAGAUCCGAGUGAGGUUUUUAAAGGAACCAGAGGUGGGGAUCGCAGAGGAUCUCACCUAUAUUGAGCAGCUAGUACGGACUGCAGACACACAAGUCAGAAAGUGUGGAAACAAGGAAAUCCUGAUGGUGAAAGUCCCUUGGAAUCACCUUAAGAUGAAAAGUGCACCUGGGAGAUCGGGAGUUCAUACUCCAGUGGUACCGUGUUUCUUUGUAGACUAUAGUUUAUGUGUUGUCAUGAUUGUACUUAUGUUAUGUAUAUGCAUGUGCUAGUUGAGGAACAUUCGGGGACGAAUGUUCUUAAAGGGGGGAAGAAUGUAAUACCCGGCUAGAUUCCGGCAUCGGAAUCCCUACCUUCCGGCGGAAUCUCCGUUGGAAUCUGGAAUUCUGACGAUGCCAGAGUCUUCUAGAGGGGUAAAAUGUGUUUCUAAAAUGUUUUCAUACGAUUUUAUGAUUUUUAAUGGAAAAUAAAUGAGUUUUUAAAAGAUUAGGCCAAUGAGGCAUUUGCCAGGUUCGGCCGCCGAAAGUGAAGUUCGGCCGCCGAACAUGGGAAGGUUUCGGGAGCGCUUUUGGCCUCCGAAAGCUUUGUUUGAACGAACCUCAAGUUCGGCCGCCGAACAUGCAUGAGUUUAGGGAGCACGUUAGGCUGCUGAAGGUCGUUGACCAGGCCGCCUAUAAAGAGCCCUCAGAUCGAAAAUGGGUGAGUUUUCUCCCCAUUCUCGAGCUCAGGUGAGUUUUUGUCCUCCUUUGGUCGUUUUCAUGCUUUCCCUACCCAUCCCUCAAGUUUUCAUGAGUUCUACCCUUGUUUUGAAGUUUUGAAGCUUAAAUAGAAGUUUUGGAGCUUGGAUCCUCCACACCUCCGAGUUAGGGAUCGCACCAACCCUCGAUCUUCAAGAGGUAAGUGUAGAUCCUUGCUUCCCUUUGUGUUUAAUGAAGUUUUAAGAGGUUUUAAUAGUUGAGUAUGGGUAGAUAUGCAUGUUAAGGUUUAUGUGGGUUUUGUGCCCAAUGUAUGUUUAUGUGCUGAUUGUUCGGGGCCUGGACUAGUGUUUAUGCCCUAUAUGCAUGUGGGAGAGUGUAUGCAUGAUUGGGAGAGGGCAAGUGAGAUUUUGGGUUGUUUUAAUGGUUUUGGCUUAUGUGGGUCAUAAGCUAUUUAUGUAUGCUUUUUGAUGUUGUUUUUGGAGUUUAAUCUAGUUGUUAAGCUCCUUUAUGCAUGGUUAAGGAUUUAUGCAUGUUUUUGAGAAGUUGAAUGCAUGUUUAGGAUGUUUGGAGACUUGUUUGUGCAUGAGGCUGAGUUCUGGACGAACUCAGGUUCGGCAGCCGAAGGGACUUUCGGCCGCCGAACGGACUUUCGGCCGCCGAACCUGCCUGUGGAGGCAGCUUUUGGCUGCCGAACCUUGCCCCCGAAAGUUGGACUUUCGGCUCUGGAGGGGAGAUUCGGCCGCCAAAGGUGCCGCCGAACAUGCAUGAGUUUCGUCUCUGGAAGAGACUUUCGGCCGCCGAAGGUGCCGCCGAAAGUAGCUGAGUUUCGGCUCUGAAGGGACUUUCGGCCGCCGAACCUGCCGCCGAAAGUGCCCUAUCCAGCCUUCCUUUGCAUGAUUUCUAUGUUUGUUUUGAGGAUGUUUUAGGGGUAUUUGGGGAGAUGUUUAGAGUCCUAUUAGAGUAUGUUUGGUCCCUCACUUGAGUCCACUUGUGUAGGAUCGGACCUGAGGAACCGAGGUGUUUAGCAGUGUUAGCUGCGUCAGAGUUAGUCCAGAGCUAGUCAAAGGUGAGUAGAACAUAACUCUUUUAAUAUUAAAGAAAUUAAAUGUUUUAAGCAUGUUCAUGCAUCACGAAUACCAUGUUAUGUAAUAGGUUAUUUGCAUUAGAGUUCACGAAUAUGUUGCAUUGCAUAAUACGAUAAUGACGAUGUGGAUUGAUAUUGGAUGAUCCAUUAGCCCUUAGUAUGACAUGAUAUGACAUGAUAUGACAUGAUAUGACAUGUAUGGCAUGAUAUGAGAUGGAAAGACCAGGCGUGGCCGUAUCGCCCCUGGCAUAGAGUAAGAGAAGUCCAGGUGUGGCCGUAUCGCCCCUGGCAUAGAGUAUGUGAAGUCUAGGCGUGGCCGUAUCGCCCCUGGCAUAGAGCAUUGCUGAACUUGUUAUGAUAUGAGAUUUAUAUGUAGAGGGCUAUUGGUGACAAAUUCAUCCUUGAUGUGUAUUGUUUUGUGAUGUGAUGCAUGUCAUGAAAGCAUAUGAUAUAAUAAACUGUUUUUAUUUAGUUCUGCUCACUGGGCUUUUUAGCUCACCCCUCUCCCCUAACCCCAGGUUUGCAGGGUCAGAGAUAGUUCAGGAGGUCAGCAGGUUAUGGUUAUGGUCAUGAUUAUGUAAGAGGAUAGUAGUGGACAUGAUGUAUUUGUAAAGUUAUGUAAUAAUGUAAAAGUAUGUAUUAAAAUGUAAAGUGAGAUAAUGUAAUGUAAUAGAUAGAGUUGUGCUUUGCCCUAGUGUGUAGUUAAUCCCUCUGUACAUAGUCUUUAUGUAUGUUUUAUAGGGAGAUAUGAAAACCAAACUUAUUGUAUGUUGCCCCAUUAGAGUUGAUGAUGAGAACUCUAGUAUUGGGGUUUAUGAUUAUGAGUUGUGCAUGCACAGGUUAAGCUUGGUAAAUGAAAAAAAGUUUAAAGUUUUUAUGUAAAUGUUGAUCAUGUAUGGGAUUAAUCAGGUAUACAGGAUGCAUGUAAGGCUUGCUACGGGUCCCGGCGGCCUUAUGCCGAUCUGGAUCCUAGCGCCGGUAGCGGUCCGAUUUUCGGGCUGUUACAAUGGGUAACCGCCAGACGAGUUUUCGGGUGUUAGUCUCCAAAGAUAAAUGCAAGUUUCUGCUAAAAAACGAGACGAGGUAGGUAACCGCCAGAUACAUGACCGGGUGUUAGUCCUAAAACCGUGAAAAAUAGUUGUAAGCUUUGAAUCUGAAGAAUCGAAGACUAAUGGGAGACUUAUGAUAUGACAUAACAAUCGCUCAAAGUAAGCCAUCAGCUAUCACCAUAAGACAGGGUCACGGGACAAGGGUCUGAUAAGCUGAUACGUGGUUCCACCCGUAGCAAGAAAGACUUGAACACUGUAGCACUUGAUUCUUCAUCAAGCCUCACCUUCUCCUGAACAGAUCAAAUUUUUACAUAAAGUUACUGUUAAUAGAUACAAUCUAGUAGAUACUCAUUACACCUAUAAUCAUGGGAUCUCUUAUGUACUAGUCGGUUCAGGUACUCGUCAGAUUUUCAGGAGAUGCGAUAACUAACCCCAUCUUCUUACAAUAUAAGAGCUAAUGAUUGCAAAUAUCAAAAUACACAUUUUUACACAACUACUCUUGAGUUCUAAAUAAUUUAUUUCACUCGCCUUAAGGUAAACACUACUUCAUUUUAAACUUUAAAUUUAAGCAACUGUAUUUUAGCAAUAGUUAUGAAAUUAUUAUAUUAUUACUCCUAAAGUAACAGUUUAGCAAUUGUUUAAAAUUAUUAUAAAGAUUUACUUUUUUACCUAUAUAAUAACAUACUUAAAUAAAAAUUUAUUUUAUAUUUAAUAAAAUAUAAUUUUAUCCGCUUUUCGUCCGUUGCUAAAAAAUAAAUAAAUUGAUAUCUUAUACUUAACACCGAAAAUAAAUACAAUAGAUUUGAAACCAUUGUUAUUAACCUAUGACUAUUAUUAAAGUAUACAAAUAAUAAUUUAUAGUUGUUACCUUUACACCAUAUUUGUAAUAGUGCAACCAAUUUAGAUUUUUAAUUCAAUAAACCAAAUUCCUAUAGAAUUUCAAUUCAAUAAAUACUUACUAAUAUAAUUAAGAUAAAAAUUAAUUAGUUUUAAUCAUAUAAAAUUAUUAAUUCAAUAAAUCAAGUUUAUAUAUUAAUGUCGAAUAUUAAAUUUUUAAUUUAUAAUAUAAUUCUAUUAAUUUUGAAUUCUCUCCAAAAUGUUUCAUAUUUAAAUUAGAGUUUUCCACAAUAUAAAAAUUUUAUACUCUCUCUACGUGGAAUUCUUUAUUUUACAUUUCUUAUAACUUAUUUAAAUAAACUAUUUAUCCUCCAGUUUAUUUAAUAUUUUCACUCAUAUAAAAUAUAUUUUCUAACUUAAAACUUUUAUCAGUAUAAAUAUUUCAAAAUUUUAAGAAUCAUAGAUGAUUUAUAAAUUUAAACCUAUAUUCAUAUUUUAGAAUCGAAAAUAUUAUAUAAAUGAAAAUCGUUUUCUCCAAUUUAGAAUUUCACUAAAUAAACUAACACUAAUAUGAAUUUGUACUAUCUUUUAAAUUCAUGAACAUUUACAAUUAAGAUCGUUGAAACGGCAACACUUCUCAUGUUCAUACAGAUGAAACUCUUAUUUAAAUAAGAUAUUACUUCAUUAAGAGUGUCAUUAUUCAUCAUCUUUUAUAAGCUAGUAUUAACUUUAUAUAUCAUUUAAUGAUCACAAAUUUAACAUUUAGUUCCCUUACUAAUAAUUUGUCAUUAUCUUUUAAACUUUACUUCAGUGAUUGGCUAAAAAAAGUUGGAUUUCCAUUAUUAGUAAGUCUAACUAACAAGUCUUAACCCUAAACCUAUAGAUGUACUUUUUAUUAAAUCUCUCGAGAGUCCUUUAAUAAAUGGAUCUGUCAUGUUAUUGCAAGACUUAAAAUAAAUAAUUGUUAUUAUUCUAUCAGCAAUUGAUUGCCUUAUGUAUUUAUGUCUCAAGCUUAUAUGUCUAGAUUUAUCAUUAUAGGUUUUACUAUAUGCUUUAGACAUAGUUAGCCAAACUAAGUUUAGGGAUACUUUAAUUUAUUUUUUUGAAAUAAUUAGACUAAGUUUAUAAUAGUUAAGGCUGAUUAACUGUUUUAUUAUUGUAAUGAUUUAUUGAUAAUACAUAGUAUCUUCUUCACUUAGUAAUGUGAAAGGGAACAAGCUAAAACAAAACAUGAUCCCAUGAAGAUUUGGAAUUAAUAAGGUUUUUGCCCGACAAAGUUGCCAGGAGGAUCAUAGUUGCAUCCAAUGAAGGUUCCUCCAUUGUUGCACUUCACCUUAGCACAUCCUAAGCGAACCGAGU